rnacentral:rRNA from 1 species
UGGGGAAUAUUGGACAAUGGGGGCAACCCUGAUCCAGCGACGCCGCGUGUGUGAAGAAGGCCUGCGGGUUGUAAAGCACUUUUAGUGGGGAUGAAAAGCACAUCAUUAAUACUGGUGUGUCUUGACCUAACCCAAAGAAAAAGCACCGGCUAACUCUGUGCCAGCAGCCGCGGUAAUACAGAGGGUGCGAGCGUUAAUCGGAAUUACUGGGCGUAAAGCGUGCGUAGACGGUUAUUUAAGUCGGGUGUGAAAGCCCCGGGCUCAACCUGGGAAUUGCAUUCGAGACUGAAUAGCUAGGGUACGGUAGAGGGAAGUGGAAUUUCCGGUGUAGCGGUGAAAUGCGUAGAUAUCGGAAGGAACAUCAGUGGCGAAAGCGACUUCCUGGACCAGUACCGACGUUCAGGCACGAAAGCGUGGGGAGCAAACAG